rnacentral:lncRNA from 1 species
CCGGGCGGCUCCGGCUCCCUCAGCGGGCCCAACCCGCCCGCCCGGCUUCCAUCCGGCUCCGGCGGCGGCUCCUUCCCGCCCUCGUCUAUGGUGGCGGCGGCGGGGGACGCGGCUGCGGCGUGGCCAUGAACAGUGGCGGCGGCCUUCCGCCCCCCUCGGCCGCCGCCUCCCCGUCGUCCUCCUCGCUGGCGGCGGCCGUGGCGGUCGCGGUCGCGGCCUCGUCGGGCGUCGGGGGCGUCCCCGGCGGGCCGGCUGCGGGCGUGAAGCUCAAGUACUGCCGCUACUACGCCAAGGACAAGACGUGCUUCUACGGAGAGGAGUGUCAGUUCCUGCACGAGGACCCGGCCUCCGGCGCGGCUCCGGGGCUCGGCCUCCAUAGCAACAGCGUCCCGCUGGCGCUGGCGGCCGCGUCGGGGGCCGGCUUUCCUCCCGGAGCGCUCCCGGGCGGGGGAGCGGGGCCGCCCGCGGGGCCCAAGAAGCCGGAGCUGGGCGUCCCGGGGGCGGCGACAGCGGGCGGCGGACUCGAUGGACCGCGGGUGGCGAUUCCCGGAAUGGAUGGAGGUGCUUUAACUGACACAAGCCUCACAGAUUCCUAUUUCAGCACCAGCUUCAUUGG